rnacentral:lncRNA from 1 species
CCAUUUGUAUGGCAAAGGUGAAAGAAGAGCCUCAUGAAGCUUGCGAGGAUAGCAAUGAGAUAGUGAGAUUUUCAUAGGUAGGGUGAAAGCACGUGAGAAUGAUGGUAAGAUAGCAAAGAUUAUGAUAGGACGUCAAUGGGUAGAGUGAUGGGGUCUUAUUAUUAGGUGGAGGCAACGAGGGAUAUUUACAAGAUAAAAAAAAUAAGAGACAUUAUUUGAAAAAAAAAAAAAAGAGGCAUCUUAAGAGAAAAGAAAAAAAUAGUUUUUUUUAAAUCACCCAUAGAUUUAAUGCUAUUAUUAUAGUUACAAAUUAAGAGAUGACAACCCCUUACUUCAUAUAAUAAUUAAAAUAAUAAUUUUAUUAAAGACAAUCCCUCAAUUACUAAUCAUAUUCUUAUUUCUCAUGAUUUUUUUAUUAUUAUUAGUUUAUACAAUCCAUUUCAUUUGUAGGUUAAUCAUCUAUAUGAGUAUCGUUAUCAGAACCUUAACUAUGUCUUUUCCUGAUCAUCAAGAUGAUUAGGAGGAGGAGAAAAAAAAAAGAGAAGGGGAACAAAAAAAAGGAGUAUAUAGAAGAAGUUUAAAAGGUGUUAAAAUUAAAUGAUGACAUUUCUAGAAGGUGUCUUAAGAAUAUUACAAAUAAUUAAAUUAAAAAUAUAAAUAUAAAUAAUAAAAAUCUCUCCUUUUAUAUCGUCAGCUAUUGAAUUUAUAGACAGAGUUCUGGAAUGAGAUCAACG